UGGGGAAUUUUGGACAAUGGGCGAAAGCCUGAUCCAGCCAUGCCGCGUGCAGGAAGAAGGCCUUCGGGUUGUAAACUGCUUUAGUCUAGGAAAAAGGGGUGCGAGGUUAAUACCCUCGUGCUUUGAUGGUACUGGAAGAAUAAGCACCGGCUAACUACGUGCCAGCAGCCGCGGUAAUACGUAGGGUGCGAGCGUUAAUCGGAAUUACUGGGCGUAAAGCGUGCGCAGGCGGUCUUGUAAGACAGUCGUG
rnacentral:rRNA from 1 species